rnacentral:lncRNA from 1 species
AACAAUGCAGAAGCUGAUGGUACAAAUGGGAAACCACCUUCUAUGCGAAACCCGUGGUAUGGGUUGGUAACUAAUCGGUCUGGUUCAAGAAGAGCAUAAAACCGGCGCAUUACGUGUUCGAAUGUAGACGGAAGUGCGGACCGCUUAGCAUUUAGGUGAGAGGGCGGGGCCCAACCCAAGACCAAGAGUUGCCGGCCGCUAUAUAAAUAAGUCACACCAACUCCUCCCUCAACAAGUGAUGCACUAUACACCUCUAC